AUGGCGGGGGCGCUCGCGGGAGCCGGGAUCGUGUGGCAGACGCCGGCCAACCCGCCCGAGGCGCAGGACUACAUCUUCCGCAACGGGCGGCGCUACGUGAGGCCCUAUUACUUCGAGUUCAUCUCCCAUGCGAAGAACAGAUGGGCUGGGAAGACCAUUGUAGAUCUCUUCACGGAUGAAUUCAAGGGGCGGCCCCGUGAAUACUAUGUUCAUGCAGUGAAGUGCGGGAGGCUUCAGGUGGAUGAGCAAAUGGUUGAAGAAGACUAUAUUGUGAAAUCAUCACAAAAGAUAAGCCAUUUCUUGCACAGGCACGAGCCACCAGUCUUGGGUGGUAAUAUUGUAAUCCUUCAGAAUGAAGUUGAUGUUGUAACUGUUUGCAAACCGGCAUCUGUUCCAGUUCAUCCCUGUGGACAGUACCGUAAAAACACCGUAGUAGGCAUUAUGGAGGCAGAACAUGGAUUGACGCCCCUAUUUCCUGUGCAUCGGUUAGACCGGUUAGUUUCAGGUCUACUUAUAUUCGCUAAAAGUGCUGAGCGAGCAGAAUGUUUCAGGCAACAGAUAGAAGCUAAUUUGCUGCAGAAAGAAUAUGUAGCCAAAGUUGUUGGUGUAUUUCCUGAAGGCGAGCAAACUGUUGACGCUAAUGUAAACUUCAAUGCACGGGAAGGAAGGAGCACUGUUGAGGUUUCUAACGGUCCUGGUAAAGCCCUCCCAAGUGGAAAACAAGCAUGCACCAAGUUUCAGAGGAUUUGCACUGAUGGGAACCACAGCAUUGUCUUGUGCAAACCUGUCACUGGCCGAACUCACCAGAUACGGGUGCAUCUAAAACACCUUGGUUACCCAAUAGCUAAUGAUGAGCUCUAUGUUUCGGGGGAUUUUUGUCCGCGUUCAUCAAAGGGGACGAGUAUCCAUAGGGCAACCUCACUAGCGUGCUCAUUGCCAUCAUCAGAUCCUGACAACGGUGCUGAAGCUGAUUUGGAAUUUGGUAUUGACCCAAUGUGUACGAAUUGUCCAAAUCUCGCUCCUGUCGGUUAUGAUGGCGACGAGGAGGGACUAUGGCUGCAUUGUGUGCGAUAUACUGGCCCCGAUUGGUGCUAUGAAUGCCCAUAUCCUGACUGGGCAUCCCUUGACAAUGUGUCAGGGAAGAAAAUGAAGUCUGAUGUACCACCAGAAAAUUAA
rnacentral:rRNA from 1 species